rnacentral:rRNA from 1 species
CCCUUCGGGGUGCCGCGGCGCGAAUACUCUACAAUGCUUGCAACUGCGAUUGGGGAGCAUCGAGUGAUCCUCAUAUUGGGGGUCUGUCCACCCGUCUAAAAAACGGGUGUUAGCAAGGGCCGGGCAAGACCGGUGCCAACCGCCGCGGUAAUACCGGCGGCUCGAGUGGUGGCCGAUAUUAUUGAGUCUAAAGGGUCCGUAGCCGGCUUUGCAAGUCUCUCGGGAAAUCCAGCGGCUUAACCGUUGGUCGUCCGGGGGGUACUACAUUGCUUGGGACUGGGAGAGGUAGGAGGUACUCAGGGGGUAGGAGUGAAAUCCUGUAAUCCUCUGGGGACCACCGGUGGCGAAGGCGUCCUACCAUAACAAGUCCUACGGUGAGGGACAAAAGCUAGGGGCACGAACCGGAUUAGAUACCCGGGUAGUCCUAACCGUAAACGAUGCUCCCUAGGUGUCACAACAUUCUUGAACUGUUGUGGUGCCGUAAGGAAGCCGUGAAACUAGCCACUUGCUAAUUACGACCGCAAGGUUGAAACUUAAAGGAAUUGUGGGGGGACCAC